ACUAUUUUGGCAGAUAAGGAUGUGUUAGAUUUAGAAUCUAUUUAUGUAAUUGAUUUACAAAUAGUA
rnacentral:tRNA from 1 species